rnacentral:rRNA from 1 species
UACGUAUGGAGCAAGCGUUAUCCGGAUUCACUGGGUGUAAAGGGAGCGUAGGCGGCGCUGCAAGUCUGGUGUGAAAGCCCGGGGCCCAACCCCGGGACUGCAUUGGAAACUGCAGAGCUGGAGUGUCGGAGGGGCAGGCGGAAUUCCUAGUGUAGCGGUGAAAUGCGUAGAUAUUAGGAGGAACACCGGUGGCGAAGGCGGCCUGCUGGACGACGACUGACGCUGAGGCUCGAAAGCGUGGGGAGCAAACA